AAUUUGAAUUGAAUUGGUUCCUCUUCCCGCCGCCUCCACCCUCUCCUCCUGCUCCCUUUACAGCCUCAGAUCUCCGCCACCCAUCGUCUCCUCCUCCUCCUCCUCCUCCUCCUCCUCCUCCGCGGUCGAUGCAGCUUCCCUCUCUUUGCUCCGAGCCCUAACCCUAACCAUCCGUCAAUGCCAGAGCUUGCUAUGAAGGGAGAGGCUGCGACCCGAGGGGUGUAGGGGAGUCGAAUCCAGGCAAGGAGUUGCUCAGGCGGUUCGCCGCCGAUAAGGUCGCUGAUCAAGCCUUAGAGAUCUUCGCUGAAGCACUUGUGAUUUCUCUGAGUGAAAUAGAAGUUCACCCUUCAGAUGGGAUUAUGGUGAUCUAUAGUGUGUGCGCUUUUCAUUUCUUCACAUUACAUUACACACGAGUUAUUGACAAAGUUAUGAUCCAAUUCUUCAGCAUGUAGACUUUAAUUAUAGUGGAUCCAAGUCUCCUCCACAAACCUCCAUCCGUGUUCUAAAUCCUAAAUUGAUUUUUUUGGAGCAUAUUAAAUGCUGGUUACUUCGGAUUUUAUGAUCAAUUUUCUCGUGGUCCGAAUGCUAUUUAACCAGCUCCCUCAAAGGAUGGCUGAUGGCAUUGCUCUCAAGAAGCAGCUUUUAUCCCAAUACGAUCUUCUUCAGGCUCAAAUCAAAGAGUGGUUUGGAUAUUGGCAUGAAUAUGCCAGUUGGAAAACAAAAUUGUAGUCAUUGGGGAACCUUCUUAUCGUGCUCGGUGAAGCGUCAACAAGGUACGAAGAAGCUUGGAAAGUUCCCUUUCAGGGAGGAUGGAACUGAUUGAGAGCUAUGCAAAAGUUCUGAUGUUCUAGCUGCUGAAGCAGUGAACAAUGCAGUCAGUAUUACAAAAUAAACCAUUUCUCAUUAACCAGAAUUUAUUUAAAUACUAGUUACUUCCAUUUUUAUUAUACCUCACUAUGUAGGAGAACAUUGCACAACAAAUGCAACAGAUUAUAGGUAGAAAAUCUUGAAGAGGUAAGUAUAUCUCUUCUGGUGUUUGCAUAACUUUGCAGUUAAUUUUCUUCCAAUUCUGCUUCUUGUAUUUUAUGUAGCGAUGGCGUCUACAAGCUGAGGUAAAUGAUGAAUAGGCUUGUUACAUGAAAUGGUUUCUUUUGAGGACAAAAUACUAUAGACGAUCAUUUGCAGACUUGAUUAGUAUAAAUGUGUUUUGCUUCCGAAACUGGAUUUUGUGUUCAAAUACUGCAUAAAGGCAUGCUCCUGAUUCAAUUACACAUGUUAAGUUUGAGCAAUCCAGUCGAGUCUAAUUAUCCGCUCGGGGGAAGUGCAAGGAUGUAAAAGCAUGAAUUUCCCUUUGCUUAUACCUUAAACUUUUAGUAGCGUCUCUUAACAUUUGAGUGUAUAACCUUUCAUGCCUACUGUUGGUAGAUUGUUCAUGAUAAGUAUGACCUUCAAUUAAAUGAGAUCAAUCCAACUUGCAAGAUUAUGAAUAUUGAGUAAUCCUUUGAUAAAAAUAAUUUCUCAACAAGAAUAUGCUUUUCCUUGCAAAGUUGCUUAUUUAUGCUAAGAAAAGUGGAUAUAUUGUACAUUCAUUUUCCAUGAAGUAUCCUACAUGCAUGCAUCCUGUAUGGGCAUUGAUGAUCCUGCCUUCUGUGAGUCAUAUACAUUAACUUGAAGUUGAUCUUUCCCAUAUCGAAAUCAACAUUAACCAUGCAAGGCAAUGAAUGGAUUGCAGUAGCUAUGAGGGAAAAUAAUUGAGUUAGGUUGUGUCCAAACUGUUUGGCAGGACAACCUAGCAAUCUUAAUAUCCAGUUAUUGGACAACUUUUGGAUCUUGCAUGAUGGUUGGGACCCCAUUUGGCAGGUGCCUUUGUCUCUCUUUGAAAGAGUUUUCAACAACCAACUGAUCAAGAUAAGGAAAGGCAAGCACUAAAAAUAUUCGAAAGUGAUACUCCUGUGUGAUUAGCUAAUUAUAUUCUCACAUCAUUGUCAUCACUUGAGACUUGACUCUUCAUCUAUUGUCCAUGUACAUUUGAGAUCUCUAUUGCUCACAGGUAAAAAAAGUAUUGUAGACUAUUGUUGAUCUAAUGAUCUUAACAGAUACAUAGAUGAAAAUGGUUAGAGUUAGAUGCCUUAAGUUUGAAGAUCUUCAUUCUUGCGAUCCACAUUUAAUUUUAUUUUUUUCCACAGAUUUGUUUACCUUAACCUGUUUUAUUAUGCAUAGUGGUCCAGAAGUUCAUUUGAAUUUGCUCAUCUCCCCUGGAAUUCAUAGCUUAAUUGCAAGUUUUUUUUAAUCUCUUGCAGAGUGAUUAGAAAGCUUGUACUUUUUGGCAAGGAAUCAGACUGAGCAUUAGGACAAGCAACAGGAGGAACUGAUUGGUUGACGAGUCACCGAAAUUGAUUCAUUCAAAAUCAGGUGGAGUCAAUGUAGAGGAAAUCUGAGUUCAUUGAUGGUGACCACCGAGUUCUCCGUUAGACAUAAUUGGACUCAUUGAGUGCCUAUGGCUAAGUGUGAUGAUCAUCAUUAUCAUCUCUAUUUAUUCCCUCUUGAUAAUGACUUUUUUUUUUCAAUAAUCUAGGUAUCUAGCUUUUAUGAUCCGAUUAAAUUUGAAAGAGUUUUUAAUUGGCUACCAAGGUAAAUCGGAAAGUGUAAAUAGAUCUUGGUAGACGUCUUAGCAUCACAAAUAAUUUGAAUUUCUCAGGUGUAAUGUGUAUUGGAUGAGAUUUGAACUCUCGUUAUUUAGAAAGCUUAUUCCACCA